GACGAACGCUGGCGGCGUGCUUAACACAUGCAAGUCGAACGAUGAAGCCGGAGCUUGCUCUGGUGAAUUAGUGGCGAACGGGUGAGUAAUACGUGAGUAACCUGCCCUUGACUCUGGGAUAACUGCUAGAAAUGGUAGCUAAUACCGGAUACGACCCUCGGAGGCAUCUCCAGGGGGUGGAAAGAAUUUCGGUCAAGGAUGGACUCGCGGCCUAUCAGCUAGUUGGUGAGGUACCGGCUCACCAAGGCGACGUCGGGUAGCCGGCCUGAGAGGGUGACCGGCCACACUGGGACUGAGACACGGCCCAGACUCCUACGGGAGGCAGCAGUGGGGAAUAUUGCACAAUGGGCGCAAGCCUGAUGCAGCAACGCCGCGUGAGGGAUGACGGCCUUCGGGUUGUAAACCUCUUUUAGUAGGGAAGAAGCGAAAGUGACGGUACCUGCAGAAAAAGCACCGGCUAACUACGUGCCAGCAGCCGCCGUAA
rnacentral:rRNA from 1 species